UUCUUCUCCUCUUCUCCCUUCUCUCUGUUUCUCUUCCCCGUUCCUUCUUCUUUCUUUCUUAUUCAUCCUACAUCACUACUUCUUUAGAAGAAAAUCUUGGAGAAUGGUAUUUGGAUACGGGCUGUAGUAAUCACAUGUGUGGGAAGAAGGAAUUAUUCUCUCAGCUGGAUGAAACGGUAACUGGAGAAGUAAACUUUGGAAACAAAGCCAAGGUAUCAAUUAUGGGAAAAGGCAAAAUCCUGAUACAAGUAAAAGAUGGUUCAUAUGAGCAUAUUUCUGAUGUAUUUUAUGUUCCUAGUUUGGAAUGGAAUUUAUUGAGCUUAGGACAACUAUCUAAAAAGGGACUUAAAAUCACUAUUGACAAAGGAGUUUGCACUAUUAUGAAUCAGAAAAAAUGAACAUGUUGUUGAAGUUAAGAUGACUAAAAAUCGCAUGUUUCCUUUAUCAUUUCAAACUAAAAAAGUAUUUUCCUUUAUUGCUGCCAUUUUUUAUACUAAUUGGCUAUGGCAUUUGCGUUUUGGUCACUUGAACCUCAAUGGUUUAAGGUUGCUCGCAAAUAAAAAAAUGCUUACAGGGCUACCUUUAUUAUAAAACUUUAAUCGGUUGUGUUCUUGGAAAACAGCAUAGGGACUCUUUUCCAGUAGGCAAGUCUCGAAGAACAACACAACUGCUAGAACUUGUGCACUCAGAUGUUUGUGGACUAAUGGAGACUGAAUCAAAUAGAGAAACAAAGUGGUUGUUCUUUGAAGGUGCUUCGUACAGAUAGAGGGGCGGAAUACACCUCCAAUGAAUUCUCUGAUUUUUGAAAAUAUGGUGGAAUAAAGUAUCAACUUACAAUGAGCUAUACACCGCAGCAAAACGGAAUUUUUGAAAUGAAGAACAGGACAAUAGUCAAAAUGGCACGUAGUUUGUUGAAAGGAAAAAAUUACCAAAAGUAUUUUAGGCAGAGGCAGUGGCAUGUGCUGUUUAUAUUUUAAACAAGUGUCCUACAAAAAGUGUUCGUGAUAUGACACCUGGAGAGGCAUGGAGCAACCAUAAGCCCGAUGUUCAAUCUCUUCGAGUCUUUGGUUGCAUUGCAUAUGCUCUUAUACCAGUUGGAAAA